CGACGAAGCAUUUGCGACAGAUUUCUUCGGGAUGAAGUUGCUUAUGACUGAGUGGCGGACGGGUGAGUAACGCGUGGGUAACCUGCCUUGUACUGGGGGAUAGCAGCUGGAAACGGCUGGUAAUACCGCAUAAGCGCACAAUGUUGCAUGACAUGGUGUGAAAAACUCCGGUGGUAUAAGAUGGACCCGCGUCUGAUUAGCUAGUUGGUGAGAUAACAGCCCACCAAGGCGACGAUCAGUAGCCGACCUGAGAGGGUGACCGGCCACAUUGGGACUGAGACACGGCCCAGACUCCUACGGGAGGCAGCAGUGGGGAAUAUUGCACAAUGGAGGAAACUCUGAUGCAGCGACGCCGCGUGAGUGAAGAAGUAAUUCGUUAUGUAAAGCUCUAUCAGCAGGGAAGAUAGUGACGGUACCUGACUAAGAAGCUCCGGCUAAAUACGUGCCAGCAGCCGCGGUAAUACGUAUGGAGCAAGCGUUAUCCGGAUUUACUGGGUGUAAAGGGAGUGUAGGUGGCCAUGCAAGUCAGAAGUGAAAAUCCGGGGCUCAACCCCGGAACUGCUUUUGAAACUGUAAGG
rnacentral:rRNA from 1 species